rnacentral:rRNA from 1 species
CUACGGAGGGUGCAAGCGUUACUCGGAAUCACUGGGCGUAAAGCGCGCGCAGGCGGCCAUUUAAGUUGGAUGUGAAAGCCUACGGCUCAACCGUAGAACUGCAUCCAAAACUAUUUGGCUAGAGUGUGGGAGAGGAAGAUGGAAUUAGUUGUGUAGGGGUAAAAUCCGUAGAGAUAACUAGGAAUACCAAAAGCGAAGGCAAUCUUCUGGAACAUUACUGACGCUGAGGCGCGAAAGCGUGGGGAGCAAACAGGAUUAGAAACCCUAGUAGUCC